GUUGUUGUGGCUGAGUGGUUAAGGCGAUAGACUCCAAAUUCAUUGGGGUUUUCUUGUGCACGUUCAAAUCCUGCCAAUAACA